GCAAGAAGGAAAUGGGCCCCUUCUCUCUUCCUCCAGAGUCACCAUGUGAUCUCGGGAUGAGGACGACAAUGGAAGAAUUGUUAGAUUUUUUCGGCACCUAUUGGAUAAGCAGAAUAAUUUUAAAUCUCAGACAGACCACUACAGAAAACCACAACCAACCAAACUGUGGGGUUCUGGACCCCAGUACCAGUGGAUAACAUCUACAAACCAUUGCACGCCUAAUGCUUAGGUAACAUUGUAGAAGAGGGGAGCUGAAGAUCCAGAGGAUCAGGAAGUCUGCCGGGAGGUUGUCUGCUAGUGAUAUUGGGUGCUACACCUAUGAAGUCUCACCAACAUGACUGCCUAAAUGUGAGCUGAACAAUGAUGACACCAAUGAACCUGACAAAGGGGAUGGAGAAAAGUCCGGGAGGCCUCAACCUUACACAAAGAACUAUAGGCAACUGAAGAAAGCUGGGAGCAGGAGGGUUGAUCUUCCUUAGGACUGAGAACACCAACUGAUUGUCCAGUGCCAAGUGGUCAGCCUGGAAAACAUACAUACAAGUAACAUUAUCCACACUGAGCAGUGUACACACAUGCAUGCCCAUGUAUACACAAGCACGCAAGCACAUUUUAUGCAUACAUGCACACAAUAACAAGUAGUGAAGAAAAGAAGCCAUGAAUGUGAAGGAGACCAGAGAGUAGUAUAUGGGAAGAUUUGGAGGGAGGAAAAGGAAGGGAGAAAUGUUGUACUUAUAUUGUAAUCUCAAAAAAAAAAUUUGGCUUUUAUUU